UUCAUGCAUUUCAUGUAUACAGAUUUAGGAACAUACUGAUACUUCCCAUCCCCCCUCCCUUCUGCCCACUCUUUCAUCCUUCCUCCUCCUUCUCUCCUAAUCCUUCUCUUAAUUUUUUAUAAUCAUCUACCUUUAGAUUACUUUAUACUCAUAAUAUUAACCCUACACUAAGUAAAGAGUUCAGUAGUAAGAAGGAAAAAAAAAGCAAAAUCAGGGCUGGAAACGAUUGUUGAAGCUCAAAAUACAUGAUUCUUGGACAAUGUUUUUUCUUAUCUUGUAGCAUAAUACAUUGAUGUUUUAACAAUCAAUAACUGAUGUUAUAUAUUUUAAAAGAAGCCUAAGAUGAGUUCAUAAUUUGAAAUGAUUGCCUAAUAAAGUGAUGGUUUUAAACAAUUUUGCAGUUAGAAAUUAGAUUUUAGUGCUGGAAACUAGACAAUGUGUAUUUGUGUGUGUGUGUGUGCAUUCUUUGAAAUGUACCAGCUCAUCAACAGAGGCUUAGCAGACUUCUGUUACAUGGGUACACGAAUAAAACCUGCUAGAAAAAUCUGCUGCAAAAUCUGUUACUACAUAAUUAGUGAAUCCAGAGAUAGCUCAUCUCUUUCAAAUAUUCUUAUUCUUCUUCAUCUGAAAAGGAAAUAUGAGUUCUUAAUGCCAUCUGGCUUGAUACAUGUCAUAAAAGAAGUCAUGUGAUUAUCGUUUUCAUAGACUUGAUAUAGGUUUUCUUGUUUUGUUUCAUUCUGUUUUUAUAAAUGCCUAAGUUCCAAAAAUCACUCUUUUUUGUGCCAGGAAGAAAGAAAAAGAAUGUUUAAAAUUUAAUCUCAAGAUAUUUUAGAGUUCCAUGAUCAAUACUGUAAUCUGCAUAUGACAGUGCUUCAACAGCUAAAAUAUAAAAUUUGGAUUUCUCCCUCUAGUUUAUAUUUGAACUUACUUAUCAGAUUGUUAGUAUUCAUGAGUGCAGGUAGAGCUUUCACUGGAAACAAUUAAUCUUAGAUCUCAAUUACACAGUUCGGUGUUUUAGGUAAUUGAAUAUAAAACUGUGUGUUAGAUACCGCAAAGAACUUCAGGGCACAUGAUCCUUAUCAAGAACUUUAUAAGUCUUUGAAAGAUGGACAUAAAAAAUGCACUACUGUGGCAUCUGACAAAGGAGCUGGGUUCUAGAAUCAGGCUGUAAAUUGAAAGCCACAUGUAGGCAGAGUAACCCUUGAGAAAUUGUAAGGGAAGCACCUAAGCAGAGUAAAUCUAAAUCCAAGGCAAUGUUCCAACACAAGCGUAACUCUUUCUCUGGUUGAAUCAUAUUUCAAAUGAUGAGCAUUACAAAAAUAAAAAAAAGUUCAUUGUAAAGUGAUUCUUGCUUUCCCUUUCAUAUUCCAAUUGACGUAAUACUCUUUUUUUAAAAGAUUUCUUUAUUUCUUUAUUUAUUUGAAAGUUAGAGUUAUAUAGAGAGAAGCAGCAGAGAGAAAGAUGUCUUUCAUCCGCUGGGUCACUCCCCAAUUGGCCAUUAUGGAAGGAGCUGUGCUGAUCCGAAGCCAGGAGCCAGGAGCUUCCCCCAGGUCUCCUAUGUGGGUGCAGGGGCCCAAGAACUUGUGCCAUCUUCUACUGCUUUCCCAGGCCACAGCAGAGAGCUGGAUCAGAAAUGGAGCAGCCAGGACUUGAACCAGCGCCCAUAUAGGAUGCCAGCACUGCAGGUGGCAGCUUUACCUGCUAUGCCACAGUGCUGGCCCCGAGUAUUCAACUUGGAUAUCACAUCUUUGGACUGAAACAAAACAAUUAACGUCUGGAGAUUGAUAAAGAGGCAUCAGAUUAAUCAUGAAACAUGAUUGCAUCUCAUCUAUUAGCGUGCUGUGUUGUAUGCAAUGUCCAGGCAUUUUAGCUGUUCUCAAUGGUGGAAAAAGAGAAAGCAUGUGCAGCCUCCCCCUUAUCUGGACUGAAAUACAUUUUUGAAAAUUCUGCAACUGCAGUCAUUAAAAUAUAUUUUAAGUAUUGCCAUUUUGUAAUAAUAACUGCCUCCGCUGCGUGAUACUCCACUGCAAUCAGCCCUACAGGGACACUGAGCAAAGCCCAGCACUCUGGCACAGAACUGAUUAUUUCUAGGGUACUGUGCUGUGUCCUCUCUCCAGCCUGCUCGACCUUCUCCCUGUGGCUGCAGGAGUUAAAUGGUUAGGUUUGAGACUCAAGGCAACUGCAGAGUAUUGCAUUUAUCUUCUCUUGACGUUUUCACUGUCAAUCAGGAGCUCUGGGGAAAAACCUCAUGAGUGAAAUUUAUUUUACUUUCUUUAUCAUGCAGUAAUACUGGAGAUAAAAAAGUUAAUCUGAGCAAUGGUAUAAAAUCACUGCUUUAAACUUUUAAUGUGUGUUUCUUCUAGGCAACAUUUUCAUGGACUAUUCUCUAGGGUUUACUGUUAUAAAGAAAAGUCUUGAGUGAAUAAAUAAUAAAAACCUAAUAUCUAGAUAGAUUGGUAAACGUUGGGUAAAA